rnacentral:rRNA from 1 species
GUGCCAGCAGCCGCGGUAAUACGGAGGGUGCGAGCGUUAAUCGGAAUUACUGGGCGUAAAGCGUACGCAGGCGGUUUGUUAAGCGAGAUGUGAAAGCCCCGGGCUCAACCUGGGAACUGCAUUUCGAACUGGCAAACUAGAGUGUGAUAGAGGGUGGUAGAAUUUCAGGUGUAGCGGUGAAAUGCGUAGAGAUCUGAAGGAAUACCGAUGGCGAAGGCAGCCACCUGGGUCAACACUGACGCUCAUGUACGAAAGCGUGGGGAGCAAACAGGAUUAGAUACCCCAGUAGUCC